GUGCUUGCUUUGGCAGCACAUAUGCUAAAAAUUGGAAUGAUACGGAGAUUAGCAUGGCCCCUGCACAAGGAUGACAUGAAAAGUCGUGAAGUGUUCCAUAUUAAA